AACAUGACCCAAACACUGGCACCUGACUUGACAUUUUCAGAUAGAGUAAGUGCUACUUGUUGGGGUAAUUUUA
rnacentral:pre_miRNA from 1 species